AGAGUAGAGAGAGAGAACCCCUUCCCUCGACCUGCUGGCCACGCUUCUUUUGAUGCAGCCCAGAAUACCCUUGGCCUUCUGGGCUGUGAGUGCGCAUUGCUAGCUCAUGCCAAGCUUCUCAUCAGUCUGCAUGCCCAAGUCCUUCACUGCAGGGCUGCUCUCGAUCAGAUUGUCCCCAUCAUGUAUUGAAAGCGUGGGUGGCCCCAACCCAGUGUAGGACCUUGCACUUGGCCUCAUUGGGCCUCAUGACAUUCACACACACCCACCUCUCUAGGCUGUCCAGGUCCCCCUGGAUGACAUCCCAUCCUUCUGGUGUGGCAACUGCACCACUCAGCUUGGUGUCAUCUGCAAACUUGUUGAGGGUGCACUCCAUCUUGAAGUCUAUAUCAUUGAUGAAAAUGUUAAACAGCACUGGACCCCUAAUGGACACUGCUUGUCACAGAUCUCCAUUUGGAUGUGGAGCCCAUGACCACUACUCUCUGAAUUUGACCGUCCAUCCUUACCCACCAAAGAGUCCACCCAUCAAAUCCAAAUAUCUCCAAUUUAGAGAGAAGAAUUUUGUUGGGGACCGUGUCAAAGGCUUUACAGAAGUCCUGAUAGAUUACACCCAUAGAUUACACCCACUGCUUUUCCUGUGUACACUGAUGUGGUCACCCCACCAUAGAAAGGGGUGAUGUUGUCACCUCAUCACAGAAAGCCACUAUGUUAAUCAGGCAGGUGAAGCCAUACUGGCUGUCUUGAAUCACAUCCCUGUCCUCUGUGUGCUUUAGCAUAGCUUCUAGGAGGAUCUAUGCCAUGAUCUUCCCAGGCACAGAGGUGAGGCUGACAGGUCAGUGGUUCCCAGGAUCCUCUUGUACCCUUUUUAAAAAUGGGCACAAUGUUGCCCUUCUUCCACUCACCAGGUGCCUCUCCUGACUGCCAUGUCUUGACAACUACAUCAUCCACUUCCCUCAGGACUCUGGGAUGCAUCUCAUCAGAUCCCAUAGACUUACACACAUUCUAAUUCUUGAGGUGGUCACAAACCUGAUCUUCCCUCACAAUGGGAGGGGCUAUUCACCCCUGGUCCCCAUCUUGGUGUCCAUUGACCCAGGAGGGGUUAGGAGAGUGGUUGUCACUGAAUGCUGAGGCAAAAAAAGUUGAGUUCUUUAGCCUUCUCCUCAUCUAUUCAUACAACAAACUAUGUCACUGGUUUUGUUCAUCAGUGGGGGUACAGUUUUCUGGUUGACAUCAAUCAGCUGUGAAUUUUUACAGAAAACAUGACUGAUGGCCUCAUGUCAUUCCACAUCAGAAACUGGGUACCACAUGUUCCAGAUCUUAUUAUUAAGCUUCCUAAAUCACGCUUUUGCCAAAGAGUUAUUCUAUAACUUUCCUAGGGUCUGAAGUAAGACUGAUGGGCCCAUAAUUUUCUUGAUCCUCCCAAAUCUCCACGACUUUUGAUGUAGCUUUUAACCCAGUGAAUACCACUUUUGUAAUCUGCCAGCACUCUGGAGACCUCCAGAAACAAACAUCAUAUUUGUAUAUAAAAAAGUACUGUAUCACAAGGAAAUAAUAUUUUAUUUUCAUAGAAUGAAAGAGUAAUUCAAUUGGAAGACAACUCAUAUGGUCAUCAGGUCAAACCUCCUUUGCAAAGCAGAUUCAGCUCCAGGUUGCUCAGAGGUCGGUACAGUUAUGUUUUGAAAAAUUCCAAGGAUUAAAACUUCUACAGCAUAACCUCUCUAGGCAAAGUCUUCCAGUUUUUGUUACAGUGUUUGUUUUAAAAUCAUUCUGAUUUUUGGAUGCCAAAGACACCAAAGAUGUUUUUCAAAGGCACCAAAAAGUCUCUGCAGAUGUAUGAAAAUGAUGUGUGAAGAAUGACUAGAAAAGAAAGGAAUCAAGUAUGUCACUGAAUCUGUAGCAUUGUAUCUCGCUUUCAGAUAGGAAAAGAAAAAAGCUUAGGAUCAUGGGUGACUGCCUGGAAAAAAACCUCUGGUGUCAGAAUUUUCUCUGAUGUUGCCUCUUCAUGCAGAGAAAGAAUGAAGAGACUGAUCUGCUUUAAGCCAAUUUCUGCAUCUUCCAGCAGAAAGAUGACUUCUGCCAUUUGGUUCACUCUUCAUUGUCGUGAUCCAGUCACUUACUUUUUCAUUCUGGCUGUAAUCUUCGUGUGGGAGUGAAAAGGGCAUGUUGAUGACAUUUAUACAUUUUCAUGGCAAUGUACCUAUACUUCUGGAACAACAUCAGUAUUUUGAGGCCCCCAUGGCACCCCAAAUUCAGAUACACAGAAUUGAAUGGGAAAUCAUCUUCCUACUGGAGCUGACAGGCCAGAAGUAACAGAGUGGAACUUUCUCCCACCUGGAAAUUACGUGGGAAUAUUCCCACAGAAUGGCAACAGGUCAGCUCUCUAGCAGAUUUCUCCAGAAGGUGGAAGUGCAUUUGAAUAAGUCUUGGAGUUGUGGUUUUCAAUUUCUGCCACCCCUGCAGUCUUUGGCUGAAAUAAAAUUAAACUAACCUGUUCAUUCACAGCAAACUAAUGCUGUGAUGCUUCUUAGAGCUAUUGCUCCAGACUUUCAACAAAAUUAUAUCAUUGCAUACAUUAAUUUCAACUGAGAGAAACUACUUGAACUUUGGACAUUUACAGGUGACCUCCAUUGUGUGAGGUAGGCCAGAGGCUCAAUGGGUUUUGCCCUUCUUUGAUUUGGACUUCUCCAAGCAAGUAUGGCUGUCUGUCGCAUUUUUGGUGUGAAAUCCUUAUGGUGAAAUAAUGUAUGACUGCCCCAAAAAACAGAGCUUUUCUAUCUUGUUUUCCAGUUUUACUGAUUUCUAGCUGUGGAUAAGAACAGCAGCAAUUUGUGAAUUCAAUGAUGUCUUUAAUAUAAAGUUUUUUCCAAGAAUUUAAAAUUUUCUACUGAGCAUGUCUCUCAAGACCCUACUCAAAAACAUUCUUGUAGCCCAUUAAAGAUAACUGCAGCAACAGUUCUUAUGUUGGGCUGUGUAAACACAGGCCUUAGUUUUUGUUCCCAAAGAGCCUGUGCUUGAGCUUGUCCUGAUUUCCAAAUCAAAAGGGAAAGGCAUUUAUUGACUUUUAAGUCUCGUUUCUUCCGGAUAUACCAGCUUUUUGCAGUGGAAAAGGAUCAGUGGAACCAAACUUCUGUUUUGAGGAUUUAAAAAAUUCCUGAAAUGCUGAGGGAAAUUCUCCUUGCUUACUGUACUGAGAAGCUGAUUAAUUAUUUGUUUCCAUUGUCUUCAGCCUCCUUGUUUCAAAGGCCAUUCAAAGUACUGAAUGAUCAAAUUAUCUGCAAAUAAUCAGGGCACCUAACACGUACUUCCCGGUGCAGUUACAUGCUUAAAGCGGUUGCUAUUUUUUGAAAAAAUAUUUGUUAACUAUUGUAGAAGUUUCCUCUCUGUACUGUUUAGUAAAUUAUGAACGUAGUGUGUUCUGAUUUCUUUGUCUUCUAUUGUGUCUGUAUGAACAGAAGAUGCAGGACUUCCAUCUCUGAUUUUAUCAUUGUCAUCUGCUCCCAUUCCCUCCCCUUCCACCUUCCCCACCCCUCAACCUCCUCCCCGACAAUAUUUCCUGAUAGUUCUUUUUCCAAUUACUGACGUGUAUCUUUCAUUUGGACAUAAAGCAAUAAAGAAUUGCUUUCUGCUUAGGGAGUUGGUUUGAUUUUAAACGAUAGAGAUAAAAGCACUUUAUCUGAACUGGUAAUUUGUUUUUUAGAUCCACAUAAUUUUUCCUGUUAUUUACCUAAUGUUGGAAGUGUCUUUAUCCUCAGAAUCCAAAGGGCUAUAACUCUGAGCUUUUAGCUAGCCUGCUUCUAAAGGAAGAUACGUGGUCCUCAGCCUGGCUUUUUAGGCCAAUUAAAUUGGGGUGGUUCAUUCUAGGUUGCAAACCUCCUCACUCAAAUCCAUGGGUUUCACAAUAAUCCUAAGCGGGUCUCUGUGUGGAGCCUGGGUUAGUGCAGACUAACCAGAAAUAGUAGAUUGAGGCUUGCGUUCAGCCACCCCUCUAGAGUUCAACAUUGCAGGCAAUUGCAGGAGUUAGCUAAACCAAAUGGAGAAUCCUAGUCAAUGCUGUUGCAUGCAUCCAGGGUCUUCUUAAAAUCUUCUGAUGCUGUCCAGAUCUUUGCAACAGCUCUUGUCUGUUUAAUGACAUUCAAAACUGUUUACUAUUUAUGAACACCAUAAGUCAUUUAAACAUUCUUCUCAAAUAUGGGCUGAAUGUGGGUUUAUCUUAUUAUUGGAUGCUUACCUUAAUUUACUGGUUUUGUGAGUACUGCUACAUUUCUGUCUUUUCUAUUUUUCUGUUUCAGAAUACAACACAUUUUCAAAUGCAUUGAAUAAAUGCUGCGGUCAAAAUGAGAGUUCUGUGUUCAGUCAGAGAACAGAUGAAGCAUCUGUGGCUCAUUAUUUUUAGUUUUGUGGCUGCCUAUCUCAACAACAGAAUAUGAUGCAGGAUUUUGUGAGGACGGCCACUUACCACAGAGCUGUCCUAGAGAACUACAUUGAUUUUGCAGACAAGCUGCAGCUGAGGAGAGAGAGACCCUGUGAACCUCAGUCCUUACUGUGCACCUGUUUUUCUUCUGCUCUGUGACUCCAUGUUUUGGGUAAACAACUGCUGGCAGCUGGCUUGUGCUCUGUGCAGUCCAUGGUAAAGGAAGAGAUUUGAAACAGAUCUUGCCUAACAAACCAGUGUGUAUUAGGAAGGAAAAAUUUUGUAGAGUGAAUGAUAGUGCUUUUCAGCAGUGUGUGUGUAACAUCAGAUGAAAGCAAUCUCAAUCUGCUAAUUGUGGUAAAUCCUCAACAGUGGGAAGCAGAAGACAUAAGGCUGAAAGUGACUGGUGCUGGUAGUUGUUUUGUCUGAACAGGAAAUGUGAUUCUAAGCAGCUUAUCUAGGACGAAGAGGAGACGUUAACAUUAACCGACUGUAAAAACUGUAUAUGUCAAGCUCUUGGAUUAACAGAAAGAAAGAGCUAUUAUGCUUGAGGGAAAUGUGAUUGUAUUGUGGAGGUCAGCUAGUGAUGGGAUCAUUAAAAGUAAAAAUAAUUAGUUCUGGUGAAAUAUCUGUCUGUCUGUCUGUCUUGAUGUGGGACAUGAAUAGCAAGUCGUUAUAUGUAAGAUGGCUAUUUAAUCUGUUGCAAUAGCCAAACAAGGGAAUUAAUUUGCUUGGAGACAUUUAACCUUGAGUCGACUGUAUUAUGACUCCUAUGAGGGUGCUUAUGUAUGGGUGGAUGCAGAUUGCCUGCAAGACACACACAGGAGUUUAUAAAAGCAUUUCAUGUGCACUGAGAGCAGUCUUGCAAAGAUUCUGUCUCAAGCACCAUAAUGGUUGCAGUAAUUUGCUAUGUAGUGUUUAGAUGAUACUUAUGUGCACUUUACUGUCUUCUAUGCAAUAAACAAAUAAGCUGCACCUGUUUAUGUUUUCUGUU